UUGAAAGGGAAACGAUUGAAGUCAGUCGUACUAACGGGGAAUCAACCUUUUGAGGGUGGACUUGUGGGAUUCAAAGUGCCUUUGUUUUUCACAACCUGCUUUUUUUGGGUGCAAUUUCUCGUAUUGUAGGUCAGCAUCGGUUUCGAUCGUUAUAAAAUGACUGGAGGAAUGUAGCUUCGAUCUCGUAUUGAAGUAUUAUAGCCUUUGGUAGAUGUAACGGAUGGGAUCGAGGAUUGCAAUGAAUACCCUUUAUGGGCUAUCCGCCUGGCCUCUGACAUGUCACUCUGGUGCUGAAAGCUUGCUUAUGGGUAUUAUAGUGUACGGUCAAAAGGUUAGAAACGGAUUAAAUUCGUUAAGGAUGUUGACGUA
rnacentral:rRNA from 1 species